rnacentral:rRNA from 1 species
AACGUAGGUGGCGAGCGUUAUCCGGAUUUACUGGGCGUAAAGGGUGUGCAGGCGGGUGAACAAGUGGUGUAUGAAAGGUUUCGGCUCAACCGAGAUAGGUUAUGCCAGACUGUUUACCUAGAGUGUGAGAGAGGGACGUGGAAUUCCGGGUGUAGUGGUGAAAUGCGUAGAUAUCAGGAGGAACACCUGCGGUGUAGACGGCUUACUGGACGGUAACUGACGCUGAGGCACGAAAGCGUGGGUAGCAAACAGG